GCAGACACAUUCCAGCCAAUCAGCAGCAGACCCUCCCUCCCAGAUCCUCCCACCUCCUGGACAGCAUCCAUUGUGAAGCUGCAUUCUUAGUGAACUGUCCAAGAGGUGGGAGGGUCUGGGAGGGAGGGUCUGCUGCUGAUUGGCUGGAAUGUGUCUG
rnacentral:miRNA from 1 species